CGCCGGCGCGGCGGUUUUGGCGGCACGCAGGGCGCCGUACGCAUCCCUGUCGUGGAGACGGUAGCUUUGACCGGGUCGAUCGAUAUCUCCACGCUUGCUCCGAAAGCUCCCGCGCCCACAUAACCAUGUAAUUCCUCCUUCGUUUAUUUACAAAUAUCCCGAAAACUUUGCCGUUCCUGUUCAAGUUUGGCUCGAAAUCACUUGAUCCGCCGGAUACUGAUACCUCGUGCACCCAUGGUCCAGUGAUCUGCACGCUUGUUUUUGAGGUGACAUGGGGAGCGGCGUUGACAUGUUGGCGUGCGUUUUGGAUUCCGGUUGCUCCGACUCAUGGGACCCCCCACCGGAACUCUAUCCUCGAAAUCCCACCCCCUCCAUGCCUCUUUUUCCAGAGCAACUUCACCUUAUCUCCCGGUUGCUCCCCCUUUUCCUGCGAUUGGUCCACCGGACACAGCGUUGAAUAUGUCGAGUUACCGCAUCAAGAGACACAAUUGGAUGAAACCUGGUUGAUCGUACUUGGAUCCUCGCUAGUUAUAGUUUUGGUGCUAAGCAUUCUGCUAACAAUGUUCCUCAUAAGAUGUCGUCAACUGAAGACGCUGAAGAUCCCCUCGCUGAGCAGCCUGAACGAGGGUGGAAACUGCGAGGCGGUGCUGUACCCGGCCUCGAUGCACGGAAGGGCCUUCUGGGCCACGCUCGGGCCCCACGGGACCAUGAAGCACGUGACGGAGCCCCUCCCGUUCCCGAUCCUCAAGCCGGCCACCAAGAGCUUUGAGAACUGCGGCUUCAUCGAGGCCGAGGACUACAUCUCCAAAGUCAGACCCCGAGUCUCCUCCCCGACCAGGAUCGAAAACCCCAACCUCCCCCCGCUCAACAUCAACGGGAGCCUCCGCCGACCAUCCUAUCAUACCAUAGGCCGGCAGUAAGCCACUCGUCACGACAGAAUAUCUCCACCUCAUUCUGCAUUUGGGAACUAAUAUUGGGCGUAUUUCUGCCAAACGGAACCAUAUGCAUUAAGACAUGAACCCUGAGAAACAUAAGAAUAUAUGCAUAACAGGGCUCUCGUCAUAAUGCACAUAGUUCCGUUCGACAGAAAUUCGUUCAAUUUCUGAUUCAUCCCUAAAAACACUUAUAUACCUACAUAUGGGGAAACUAAUAGUACAUACGUUGUUUCUACACUGAGCCAGAGAUUGUAAUUAAGAAUUGCAAAAUGUAAUCCAACUGACGUAGAACCAGCCAUGGGUGUAGCUCAUGGGGGGGGGGGGGGCAAAGUGGGCCUGGCGUAAGCCCCCUUCCUCCCCGAAUUUAAAAUAAUAUCGUCUGACCCUUACUACAAAAUCCGGAUGACACAGGAUAGUCUGGUUCAUUGCCUCUCUGCAUUGCAGUAAUGCGAUAGGAAAACGGAAAAAUUGUGGGAUGUUUUUCAAGAAUUACUGGAAGAGAUGAAUCUUUAAUUUGCAAAUGGCUAGAUUUUGCUCGAGAGUAGCUUUAAAAUGCAUCCCGUACGUGUGAUCAACUUUCCAGGAGAUCAACCGCCCUUCCCUCCGAAACCUCUUUGCGUAUACUAGGGAGACCAGUAGCACUCCAUUAAAAAAAGGGGGGGUGCUACCCUCAGUAGGUUGAUCGAGCUACGCCUAUGAUUGGCAGAAGAAUAUCGAUGACUAAAGUUCGUAUCUCCAUUGCGGUGUUUCAAAAUCUCCACUCCUAUUUUACUUUUUUCGAGGAGGAACAAAUCAACUGCAUGACUUGAAAUGUCUGGCGAAUAUCCUGCUAAUAAAGAAGAAAACUCGAGGAAGUUUUCAAAGAACUAUACCUAAGUUGACUAGUGUUCAAAUGAAAAAAUUAAGUAUGACAGGAAGUCUAAAACGUUGCAAAUGGAGAUACGUGGUUUCACACUUUGGCCAUCGAAAUUUUAUAACCAAAGAAACUGUGGCUUCCUCCUAGUUAGGAGCACAGAUAGGUAAAGACGUCCCUUAUGGAAAGGCUAGUUCCGCCCAUGAAAAUAGUACCCCAACGAGGAAAGCUCAAGGAAAGGUCGAGGAAACCUUCCUGGUGGAAGGUAAGUGUAAACCGGUUCUCCAUUUCUGGUUUACAUGCCUUGACAUGAUUGAUCGAGGUGUUAACACAAAUAGCGACGAUUUUAAAGUUAUCUUUUUAAAUAUUCAACGGAUGUUAUGUUCCAACUUUAACGCACAAUUACAUUAGGAUGCACCUGUUGAAAGUAUGCACCCACUUUGUCAGAAUCCUUAAAAGUAAAUUCCGAGGAACCUCAUAAAACACGUACGUUUAUAAUGAUUUCUGUGAAAUAACAGCUCUUCAUAUCAUGAAAAUUUGAGAAAAGGGGGCUGCAGUUUAGGCCCUUUUUAAAAUUUAUAAAGCAUUGAGGGGCAAUGGGAAGAAUACUACCUAUACGCUGAUGAGUUGCUGUUGUUCAAUCUCUGCCAACUUGACACAGCACAUAUAUUUUAAAACGCUUCCUGUGAAGUGGACUAUUAAUUUAAAAUCUUGUUGGAUCUACUGUUUAAUUUUUCCAGAAAUGUUAAUCAUAGGUUGGGAAUUACUUCAUUUCAACAUCAGCCAAUAGCACUGCGCACAACGCGUGACAAAGCAGGACGUCACGUCAAGUUACAAGUGUCUGCUUCGCAAAACGUCUCAGAAGUUCCUUCCAUUUUAAGGCAUGCAACACACCAUACGCAUGCACCAACACCUCUUGCGCCGUUAAAUUGUAAAUACUACAGACUUAUCUGAGAACUCUGAAGAAAUGUCCUCCAAAACACCCCAGCUUACAGUACUCAUCGAUUACUUUUUUAUUGUUUACCCUAUGCAUCUGUUAAUUUUCUUUUUUUACGUCUUUGUAUUGAUACUCUUAUUUGUCGAUGUCAAAAAAAGCCAUGAACUAUUUAAAUCACGGUUAUUAAGUUUCUUAUUAUUGUAUUCCACGUUUGGUUCAGCAACUCUCAUUUUGAUGGUGGUUUAUGAGUGGGCCAAAAAAAAAAUAAAUAAAAAAAUGAAUUGGAUAAUAAAAUAAGAAUCUCACAAUUUCGAACACAACUGGUAGAGGUACAGGGAGUAGCUUACACUUUAAGACUCAAGCUUCACAUUCUGAAAUCUUGUCAAAGAAAUUUAAGAGACGAUUGCUACACAAUAUAAAAUUGUGUGGGGGAAAAAACUAUUUAUCGUUUCCGAAAUGGGAGCUGCUGUGCACGAUACAUCCUUAUUUC
rnacentral:lncRNA from 1 species